rnacentral:rRNA from 1 species
CGAGGGGUAAGGUCUCUUUCGGGAGAUACACGACCGGCGCACGGGUGAGUAACGCGUAUGCAACCUACCUAUAACUAGGAGAUAGCCCCGAGAAAUCGGGAUUAAUAUCCCAUAAUAAUAUUUUGAGACAUCUCUUUUUAUUUAAAGCUCCGGCGGUUAUAGAUGGGCAUGCGUGACAUUAGUUUGUUGGUGAGGUAACGGCUCACCAAGACUUCGAUGUCUAGGGGUUCUGAGAGGAUUAUCCCCCACACUGGUACUGAGACACGGACCAGACUCCUACGGGAGGCAGCAGUAAGGAAUAUUGGGCAAUGGACGAAAGUCUGACCCAGCCAUGCCGCGUGCAGGAUGACAGCCCUAUGGGUCGUAAACUGCUUUUAUAAGAGAAGAAACCUUCGGACGUGUCCGAGGCUGACGGUAUCUUAUGAAUAAGGACCGGCUAACUCCGUGCCAGCAGCCGCGGUAAUACGGAGGGUCCAAGCGUUAUCCGGAUUUAUUGGGUUUAAAGGGUGCGCAGGCGGACUAUUAAGUCAGUGGUGAAAUCUCUCGGCUCAACCGAGAAACUGCCAUUGAAACUGAUAGCCUUGAGUGUAGUUGUAGUAGGCGGAAUAUAGCAUGUAGCGGUGAAAUGCUUAGAUAUGCUAUAGAACACCGAUCGCGAAGGCAGCUUACUAAACUAUCACUGACGCUCAUGCACGAAAGCGUGGGGAGCAAACAGGAUUAGAUACCCUGGUAGUCCACGCCGUAAACGAUGAUAACUCGAUGUUGGCAAUAUAUCGUCAGCGUCCAAGCGAAAGCGUUAAGUUAUCCACCUGGGGAGUACGAUCGCAAGGUUGAAAAUCAAAGGAAUUGACGGGGCCCCGCACAAGCGGUGGAGCAUGUGGUUUAAUUCGAUGAUACGCGAGGAACCUUACCUGGGCUCAAAUGUAGAGUGACAUCCCCCGAAAGGGGGCUUUCUUCGGACACUUUACAAGGUGCUGCAUGGUUGUCGUCAGCUCGUGCCGUGAGGUGUCGGGUUAAGUCCCAUAACGAGCGCAACCCCUACUCUUAGUUGCCAGCAUGUAAUGAUGGGGACUCUAAGAGAACUGCCUACGCAAGUAGAGAGGAAGGUGGGGAUGACGUCAAAUCAGCACGGCCCUUACGUCCAGGGCUACACACGUGCUACAAUGGCCGGUACAGAGGGCAGCCACCACGUGAGUGGGAGCGAAUCUCCAAAGCCGGUCUCAGUUCGGAUCGAAGUCUGCAACUCGACUUCGUGAAGCUGGAAUCGCUAGUAAUCGCGCAUCAGCCAUGGCGCGGUGAAUACGUUCCCGGGCCUUGUACACACCGCCGGUCAAGCCAUGGAAGCUGGGAGUACCUGAAGUCGGUAACCGCUGAGGAACUGCC